rnacentral:rRNA from 1 species
GAUGAACGCUGGCGGCGUGCCUAAUACAUGCAAGUCGAGCGAACAGACGAGGAGCUUGCUCUUCUGCCGUUAGCGGCUGACGGGUGAGUAACACGUGGAUAACCUUCCUCUUAUACUUGGAUAACUUCGUGAAACCGGAGCUAAUACCGGAUAAUAUAUUCAACCGCUUGGUUCAAUAGUUCAUGACGGUUUUGCUGUCACUUUUAGCCGGAUUCGCGACGCAUUAGCUAGUUGGUAAGGUAACGGCUUACCAAGGCAACGAUGCGUAGCCGACCUGAGAGGAUGAUCAGCCACACUGGAACUGAGACACGGUCCAGACUCCUACGGGAGGCAGCAGUAGGGAAUAUUGGGCAAUGGGCGAAAGCCUGACGGAGCAACGCCGCGUGAGUGAAGAAGGUCUUCGGAUCGUAAAACUCUGUUAUUAGGGAAGAACAGAUGUGGAAGUAAAUAUGCACGUCUUGACGGUACCUAAUCAGAAAGCAACGGCUAACUACGUG